rnacentral:rRNA from 1 species
UACGAAGGUGGCAAGCGUUUGUUCGGAUUUACUGGGCGUAAAGGGAGCGUAGGUGGUUAGGUAAGCCCUCCGGGAAAUCUUCAGGCUUAACCUGAAAAGGUCGGGGGGGACUGCCUAGCUAGAGGGCGGGAGAGGAGCGCGGAAUUCCCGGUGUAGAGGUGAAAUUCGUAGAUAUCGGGAGGAACACCGGUGGCGAAGGCGGCUUUCUGGGUCUUACCUGACGCUGAGGAACGAAAGCCAGGGGAGCGAACGGG